CAGAUUGAACGCUGGCGGCAGGCCUAACACAUGCAAGUCGAACGGUAACAGGAAGAAGCUUGCUCUUUGCUGACGAGUGGCGGACGGGUGAGUAAUGUCUGGGAAACUGCCUGAUGGAGGGGGAUAACUACUGGAAACGGUAGCUAAUACCGCAUAACGUCGCAAGACCAAAGAGGGGGACCUUCGGGCCUCUUGCCAUCGGAUGUGCCCAGAUGGGAUUAGCUAGUAGGUGGGGUAACGGCUCACCUAGGCGACGAUCCCUAGCUGGUCUGAGAGGAUGACCAGCCACACUGGAACUGAGACACGGUCCAGACUCCUACGGGAGGCAGCAGUGGGGAAUAUUGCGCAAUGGGCGCAAGCCUGAUGCAGCCAUGCCGCGUGUAUGAAGAAGGCCUUCGGGUUGUAAAGUACUUUCAGCGGGAGGAAGGGAGUAAAGUUAAUACCUUUGCUCAUUGACGUUACCCGCAGAAGAAGCACCGGCUAACUCCGUGCCAGCAGCAGC
rnacentral:rRNA from 1 species